rnacentral:rRNA from 1 species
UACGGGGGGUGCGAGCGUUGUCCGGAAUCACUGGGCGUAAAGGGCGCGUAGGUGGCGCGGCAAGUCAGCGGUGAAAGCCCGAGGCUCAACUUCGGGUCGGCCGUUGAUACUGCUGUGCUUGAGCACUGUAGAGGCAGGUGGAAUUCCGGGUGUAGCGGUGGAAUGCGUAGAGAUCCGGAAGAACACCGGUGGCGAAGGCGGCCUGCUGGGCAGUUGCUGACACUGAGGCGCGACAGCGUGGGGAGCAAACAGG